UCUGUCAGAGAAAUUUUAAAAAUUAUUUUCUUUGUAAUUUGGAAAUAUUAUAGUACUUUAAACUAUGUUUGACUCAAUAGUUAAAAAUCAAUCAAGUAUAUAAUAAAGAGAGACGACAGCAAAUUGGAUGAAGCUGAGAUAUAGAUAUAAUAAUAACCUUAUUACCAGAUUUUAUGUUUGAGCAUAAAAGUAUAUUCUUAAAUGAAAAGAAUCAAAAGUCGCAAAAAAUUCCUCUGGGCAACUUGCUUUAAACUGGGGGUGGUUGACAUGUGUUUUGAGAUCUACAGAGGACAUCAGCAAACUGAAUGCCCGAAUAGUUUCAGUAGGAAUGGUAUCAGCUGUUCUUUUACACCUAGUAGAAUUGAUGUGCUGCUGGAUUCGGUUUGCUAGUAUUUUAUUGAGGAUUUUCCCAUCGAUGUACACCAGGGAUAUUGGUCUAACAUUCCCUUUUCUUGUUAUGUCUCUGCCAGGCUUUGGUCAACUUCUUCCUGGUUUAGUCUUGGGAGGAUAUAUGUGUCCAAGAAUUUAUCCAUUUCUUCUAGAUUUUCAAGUUUAUUUGUGUAGAGGUUUUUAUAUAGUGCUUCCUUCAGGAGCUCUUGUAAGGCAGGCCUGGUGGUGACAAAAUCUCUCAGCAUUUGCUUGUCUGUAAAGGAUUUUAUUUCUCCUUCACUUAUGAAGCUUAGUUUGGCUGGAUAUGAAAUUCUCGGUAUCUUUGUUCUCAUUAGUUUCAAAGAACCUCUUGACUUCUGCCUUAAUUUCAUUAUUUCAUUAUUACCCAAAAGUCAUUCAGGUGUAGGUUAUUCAAUUUCCAUCUAAUUGUAUGGUUUUGGGUGAUUUUCUUAGUCUUGGUCUCUAAUUUUAAUGCACUGUGGUCCAAGAGAGUGGUUGUUAUAAUUUCAGUUCUUUUGAAUUUGCUGAGAAGUGUUUUGUCUCAGAUUAUGUGGUUGACUUUAGAGAAUGUGCCAUGUGGCAAUGAGAAGAAUGUAUAUUCUGCGGUUUUGGGUGAAGAGUUCUGUAGAUGUCUAUCAGGUCUAUUUGAAUAAUCAACAUUUGGAUAACUACAGAGUCCAACACAUCAGAAAUCUUGUUCGUUGAUUUGAUGAUCAACUCAACAAAACAUGUAGAUAUAUUGCCUUAGAAUUUCCAGGGGUGGCUGUU
rnacentral:lncRNA from 1 species